rnacentral:lncRNA from 1 species
UAAACUCGAUUUCUGGUAAAAUCGGAAGGUUUAACGAGUUUGACUGAGUUAACACUCGGUAAACUCGUGUAAACUCGACCGAUUUGUAAUGGCUGACACAAUAUUUUUUUUAAAAGAUUUGUAAGUGCUGGCAUAAUUUUAAAUAUGUACAAUUGAAUUUUGUGGGAAUAACAUUUUUAACAAAUAAAAAAUGUGUAUUGAAAAUAAUGUGUUAGAGUGUGUUUU